CCGUGCCAGCAGCCGCGGUAAGACGGGGGAUGCAAGCGUUAUUCGGAAUUAUUGGGCGUAAAGCGUCUGUAGGUGGCGAGGAAAGUGUUGUGUUAAAGAUCAAGGCUUAACCUUGAAAAAGCAUUGCAAACUAUCUCGCUUGAGUUCGGUAGGGGCAGAGAGAAUUCCCAGUGUAGCGGUGAAAUGCGUAGAUAUUGGGAGGAAGACCAGUGGSGAAGGCGUUCUGCUGGGCCGUAACUGACACUCAGAGACGAAAGCUAAGGGAGCAAAUAGGAUUAGAUACCCUAGUAGUCUUAGCUGUAAACGAUGCACACUAUGUUUUGCAAUUUGCAGAGCAAAAGUUAACGCGUUAAGUGUGCCGCCUGGGGAGUACAUUCGCAAGGAUGAAACUCAAAGGAAUUGACGGGGACCCGCACAAGCGGUGGAGCAUGUGGUUUAAUUCGAUGCUACGCGAAGAACCUUACCAAGAAUUGACAUGCUGCGAACGUUUAUGAAAGUAAAAAGUCUAUUAACUUAGUUAAUAGCGCAGACACAGGUGGUGCAUGGUUGUCGUCAGCUCGUGCCGUGAGGUGUUGGGUUAAGUCCCGCAACGAGCGCAACCCUUGUCUUUAGUUAUAUUCUAGAGAGACUGCCGGUGAUAAACCGGAGGAAGGUGAGGAUGACGUCAAAUCAGCAUGCCCCUUACAUCUUGGGCGACUCACGUGCUACAAUGGUCGAGACAAAGAGAUGCUACCCUGCGAAGGCAAGCUAACCUCAAAAACUCGAUCUCAGUUCGGAUU
rnacentral:rRNA from 1 species